rnacentral:lncRNA from 1 species
GACAGGUAUGCUACAGGACAUGUGGCUGAUGCCCUAGCCCAGAGUAACACUGUAUACUGUAGUAUGAACAGGUAUGCUACAGGACAUGUGGCUGAUGCCCUAGCCCAGAGUAACACUGUAUACUGUAGUAUGAACAGGUAUGCUACAGGACAUGUGGCUGAUGCCCUAGCCAAGAGUAACACUGUAUACUGUAGUAUGAACAGGUAUGCUACAGGACAUGUGGCUGAUGCCCUAGCCCAGAGUAACACUGUAUACUGUAGUAUGAACAGGUAUGCUACAGGACAUGUGGCUGAUGCCCUAGCCCAGAGUAACACUGUAUACUGUAGUAUGAACAGGUAUGCUACAGGACAUGUGGCUGAUGCCCUAGCCCAGAGUAACACUGUAUACUGUAGUAUGAACAGGUAUGCUACAGGACAUGUGGCUGAUGCCCUAGCCCAGAGUAACACUGUAUACUGUAGUAUGAACAGGUAUGCUACAGGACAUGUGGCUGAUGCCCUAGCCCAGAGUAACACUGUAUACUGUAGUAUGAACAGGUAUGCUACAGGACAUGUGGCUGAUGCCCUAGCCCAGAGUAACACUGUAUACUGUAGUAUGAACAGGUAUGCUACAGGACAUGUGGCUGAUGCCCUAGCCCAGAGUAACACUGUAUACUGUAGUAUGAACAGGUAUGCUACAGAACAUGUGGCUGAUGCCCUAGCCCAGAGUAACACUGUAUACUGUAGUAUGAAUAGGUAUGCUACAGGACAGGUAUGCUACAGGACAUGUGGCUGAUGCCCUAGCCCAGAGUAACACUGUACACUGUAGUCACUGUGUAGCCUAUGUAGCUAACUGGGUGAAUAGUCUUGUUUACAGUCUGGAGCAUGUGUACAGGGCAUGUUGUUGUACGUGUGGCUAAAGCUAAUGCUACAUCAGAUUAGUGGUACAUCUGUGAGGUUUAAUGUACUUUAGCUGUGAUUGACGCUAGUGUUAGCCUGUAGGAUCGGAUUGUUUACCGGUGCAGCUGUGUGUAAUGUUGGCUAGUAAAGGCAUGUUUUUCAUUCAGAGAGAGAUGGGGACCCUGAACAUUUAAUAUUCACUCUGACUGGGUUUCGGGAAAUCUCUUUUUAUGCUUGUGGCUAUACACUUUGGACCUGUUGAUUGAUUGUUUGAUUUAAUAUUUGGCAUUGGGGGAAAAAUAUAUACAUCCCUAUAUUAGGGUCGGGGUUCAUUUCAAUUGUCAUUUUCAAGAGUCGUGACGUCGUCAUUUAGUAACAUAUUGGUUUUUCACUUUACUUCCUGAAUUGACUGAGUUGAAAAGGAAUCAACCCUAACCCUGCUAUCUGUAUACAUACAGUAUUUAACUUUGAUCUAAACUGCAGUACAUGCUUUUGGAUAGAAGGACAGUAAAUGCCAGAUAUUUGUCAGAAUUCAGCCAGUGUUGGG